rnacentral:rRNA from 1 species
UGCCCGCGCACCCGGGAGGCGGCGGACGGCUCAGGACAACGGUUGCACCCCCCGCGGCGGUCCCUGCUAGCCGGACACCGCUGGCAACCCGGCGCCAAGACGUGCGCGCAAGGGCGGGCGCCCGCGGGCGAGCAGCGUGACGCAGCGACGGCCCGCCCGGGCUUCCGGGGCAUCACCCGGUCGGCGCGGUCGCGGCGCGCCGAGGGCCCGACGCGGGGCGGAGAAUCAGGGUUCGACUCCGGAGAGCGGGCCUGAGAGACGGCCCGCACAUCCAAGGACGGCAGCAGGCGCGGAACUUGCCCAAUGCGCGCGCGCGAGGCAGCGACGGGGAGUGCGCGAGCGAGGCGGGCCCACAGCCC